rnacentral:rRNA from 1 species
UACGAAGGGGGCUAGCGUUGCUCGGAAUCACUGGGCGUAAAGCGCACGUAGGCGGAUUUUAAGUCAGGGGUGAAAUCCUGGAGCUCAACUCCAGAACUGCCUUUGAUACUGGGAAUCUCGAGUCCGGGAGAGGUGAGUGGAACUCCGAGUGUAGAGGUGAAAUUCGUAGAUAUUCGGAAGAACACCAGUGGCGAAGGCGGCUCACUGGCCCGGUACUGACGCUGAGGUGCGAAAGCGUGGGAGCAAACAGG